UACGGGGGGGGCAAGCGUUGUUCGGAAUUACUGGGCGUAAAGGGUUCGUAGGUGGCCAACUAAGUCAGACGUGAAAUCCCUCAGCUCAACUGGGGAACUGCGUCUGAUACUGGUCGGCUUGAGUGCAGGAGAGGAACGCGGAAUUCCAGGUGUAGCGGUGAAAUGCGUAGAUAUCUGGAGGAACACCGGUGGCGAAGGCGGCGUUCUGGACUGCAACUGACACUGAGAGACGAAAGCCAGGGGAGCAAACGGG
rnacentral:rRNA from 1 species